rnacentral:lncRNA from 1 species
CAGAAGUGAAAAUAGAACUCUUUCCAACACUGGAAGCCCCCCAAGAGUCCCUGUGUUGCGGCGGGGACACAGCUGGUCCUGAGAAGGCAUCAUACUCAGACAAGCCUGCAAGAUUGCAUUCAUUCCUGUUGUUUCCGUUAGUGAUGCUCGUCCAUGGAAUGAUAAUCUAAUUUUCCUCCGUGGGUUGAUGUUCUGUCAUCAGAGGAGUGUCAGGAAGACCUAUUACAGAGCAGACAUCUAAGAUGAGUUUUUAGAUUUAAACUACUUUUUGGGACAGCCCCGGGUGGCUCAGCAGUUUAGCGCUGCCUUCAGCCCAGGGCCUGAUUCUGGAGACCCGGGAUCGAGUCCCACGGCAGGCUCCCUGCAUGGAGCCUGCUUCUCCCUCUGCCUGUGUCUCUGCCUCUCUCUGUGUGUG